AAGCCACUUGGGUCUUUUUCCCCCUCUAUUUUGAGCCCCUUUUCGUUGUCAGUGGUAUCUUCUGGUAUUCACUGCCUUUGUAAACCAAGUAAAUAGAGUAAGUGAAGAUACUAGUUAUCUAAGUUUUUUCCUGUUGUUAAUUGUUCUGGAGUUUCUUUACCAGUGUGCAUAUUUAAGCAUAAUGUCCUCUCUUUUUUAUCAUGUAGCAGCAUCUAAAAGUAACUUUGGAUAAAGUCAUGUUGUGUAUCUGGUCAAAGUAAUGUUUUCUCCUUGUCAUCACAGGUUUAACCUUAUAUAAUACAAAACAUCUGAGCUCAAAAGCCCAAUCCUUCAGGGUCUUUACAAAAGUAAAAAGUAUUUUAAGUGCUUAGAGCCAGACCCCAUUAUAUUUACAGUUCCAAACAGACCCACCAAUCAUACAGCUUGUUUAGAAUUUUAACCAUAAGUAUUUUUACUUCUAGUCAGUGUUAAACCUCAGUAUAAUCUCCAGAUUAUAGAGAACAAUUUGAAAUGAAACUCAGCAAAGGCCACUAUUUGUCACAUAUUGUGCAAGGAAUAAUCCCAAUCAACAUACACAAUGCAACAUUUGUGACUAAUUUUCCCAUGGGAAUAAUUGGACCUUUUUAAUUUAUUUCAAAUUUUAUACUUAGCAUGAAACCUUAUUCAUAUAUUUUACCAAACUAAUUCAAAUUUAUGUUUGAAUUGUUAGAAAAUAUUUGUGUAUAGUUUUGGUUAAUAAUGAAAGAAAAAUAUAAAAUAUAUUAAAUGUCUUUUCUGUGUCAAGAUGCAAAACAAGUCAUGUUGGAAAAUUUUUGUACUCAGUAUUUUGUAUGUACCUUUUUUCUUUUUUUUAAGCUGGAA
rnacentral:lncRNA from 1 species